rnacentral:rRNA from 1 species
GACGAACGCUGGCGGCGUGCUUAACACAUGCAAGUCGAACGGAAAGGCCCUGCUUUUGUGGGGUGCUCGAGUGGCGAACGGGUGAGUAACACGUGAGUAACCUGCCCUUGACUUUGGGAUAACUUCAGGAAACUGGGGCUAAUACCGGAUAGGAGCUCCUGCUGCAUGGUGGGGGUUGGAAAGUUUCGGCGGUUGGGGAUGGACUCGCGGCUUAUCAGCUUGUUGGUGGGGUAGUGGCUUACCAAGGCUUUGACGGGUAGCCGGCCUGAGAGGGUGACCGGCCACAUGGGGACUGAGAUACGGCCCAGAGUCCUACGGGAGGCAGCAGUGGGGAAUAUUGCACAAUGGGCGGAAGCCGGAGGCAGCAACGCCGCGUGCGGGAUGACGGCCUUCGGGUUGUAAACCGCUUUCGCCUGUGACGAAGCGUGAGUGACGGUAAUGGGUAAAGAAGCACCGGCUAACUACGUG